CACCGCACCCGGCAAAAAGCCCCUUUUGGCCGGUACAUAUCAUAUAAAAACUGUACCGGCCAACAAGGUACAGCCGGGAGGGGGGGUAAGGAAUGUAUCCAACAAUAUACAACCAGCUCCCGUUUGUUGUUGGCCUCCAUAUUAGGGAAGUCUCGCGGUGGCCACAUACAGCCCUAUAUAUAAAUGAGAACACGGGGCGCACUGGGGAGACAACAGCAGCACGCACUGAGCGAGAUCCGACAUCUCGAACAGGCAGCGGACGCUGCAGUGCUCAUGGUGUGAGAAGGAGCGCACGUCACGGUCACAUUAUGGCAGAGCUUCCUUUAUUUUCGCGUCAUAUUUCUGUGCUCCGGAAGCGGAAAGUGGUGUCUGGGCGAAGAUGUCAUCCUUCUCCUCUAUGCUGCCCUGUACCCCUCAUUCUGCCUAUACUCACCCCGCUCUCCAGCUGCCGGUGCUGUUAUUUGCCCAUCUGUACUGAUGCUGCCUCUGCACGCUGACUUUCUGUUACUACUCUGUAUAACUGGCUCCUAAUCCUCCGUUGCAUAUACAGCUGCUGUUGUGCUCUCUGCCUCCAUAUACAACGGAUCCGGUGCAUACGAACACGAACUACAUUGCACAGACAUGAGAAAGCCACGCCGUAAGUCACAUCAAGGUGUUGAUGGGCAGCAAUCCACCUCUCCUUGUUGUUUUUCAUGUUCCCCGACCCGAGAGACUUUGACAUAUGCUCAAGCACAACGCAUGGUAGAUGUUGAGAUAGAAGGUCGUCUUCACAGAAUUAGUAUAUUUGACCCUCUUCGGAUUGUCUCAGAGGAUGAGCUUACAGCUCAAGACAUAACUGAAUGCAACAGCAACAAGGAGAAUAAUGAGUUGACUCUUUCUACAAACUGCAGAAAGAACUCCACGAAAGGAAAAAAGCGUGAACUUUGCCCAAAACAUGAUGUUAGCACUACUCUUCAACAGCUGCCGCAACCUUUAUUCAGAGUAUUGGAACAAGUUUAUGUGGAAAAUGCAGAAGAGACCCCUAUUUUGCCCGACACUCUUUACCGCUAUAUUGAGCGCCCAUUGGAAGAGAUUGAUAAGGAUGUUGAGUAUGAUCUUGAUGAGAUAGAUCUAGCAUGGCUGGACAUAAUCAAUGACAAACGUCGGAAAGAUGGUUUUUCUAUGGUAUCUGCUGACACAUUUGAACUACUAUUGGACAGGUUGGAAAAGGAGUCUUACGUGCAGAACCGGCGCAUAUGUAUGACACAUUCUUCUAUUGAUGAAAAUGCAUUCUGUUGUGUAUGCUUGGAUGACGAAUGUCACAAUAGUAAUGCCAUAUUAUUUUGCGAUAUAUGCAACCUUGCAGUCCACCAAGAGUGCUAUGGCGUACCAUACAUUCCUGAAGGACAGUGGCUCUGCCGUUGCUGUUUGCAGUCACCCUCAAAUCCUGUCAGUUGUGUACUUUGCCCUAACCAGGGUGGUGCUUUUAAACAGACUAGUGAUGGAAGAUGGGCACAUGUAGUAUGUGCCAUCUGGGUUCCAGAAGUAUGCUUUGCCAACACUGUGUUUUUGGAGCCUGUUGAAGGUGUGGAUAAUAUUCCACCUGCUCGGUGGAGGCUGACAUGUUACAUUUGUAAACAAAAAGGACAUGGAGCUUCAAUUCAAUGUCACAAGGUAAACUGCUAUACAGCAUUUCAUGUUACGUGUGCUCAGAGGGCUGGACUGUUUAUGAAGGUGGAACCAUUACGCGAGACUGGACUGAAUGGCACCACUUUCACUGUGCGCAAAACUGCAUAUUGUGAAGCCCACUACCCACCAGACAUUCAGCAUAAAGAGUCCUCCAAAAGUGAUCUCGAAGAGGCCAAUGAUCAGGAUAAGGUAACCAAUGAAGACGACAAAACUAAGAAGAAGGGAAGUGGGAAAAAAAAUCUUGGGAAACUGUUUGCAAAAGAAAGACGGGAGCUUGUGCGUAGGAGAGGUCCUGUGCCACUUAUGACUAUCAUGCAGAUUCCUUUGUGUAGGCUAAUUAAGAUCUCUAGUGGAGUUUGUUUACAGAAAAAGACGCAGUUCAUGCAACAUCUGCACAGUUACUGGCUGCUGAAACGCCAAUCUAGAAAUGGGGUUCCUCUUAUCCGAAGACUUCACUCACAUUUGCAGUCCCAAAAAUGUGGCAAACAGAAAGAAAAAGAUGAGGAGAGCUCAUCCGUGAAGGAGGCACUCAAAUACUGGCAAAAAUUGCGACAUGAUCUAGAGAGAGCCAGAUUACUGACUGAACUAAUUAGAAAGAGGGAGAAGCUAAAGAAAGAACAGGUAAAGUUGCACCAGGCUGCAAUGGAGCUGCAGCUAACCCCAUUCAACGUAUUCCUCCGCUCCACUUUGGAUUUGUUGCAGGAGAAAGACCCAGCCAAAAUCUUUAAUGAGCCUGUUAAUCUCAAGGAGGUUCCAGAUUACAUGGAUUUUGUUUUGCAUCCCAUGGACUUUUCCACAAUGCGCCACAAACUUGAAUGUCACCUAUACCCAUCUUUUCUUGCUUUUGAAGAUGACUUCAACCUAAUUGUCUCUAACUGCUUGCGUUAUAACUCUCGGGAAACUGUGUUCCACCAAGCUGCUUUACGCCUCCACCAACUAGGUGCAUCAAUACUUAAUCAUGCAAGACGCCAGGCAGAUAGCUUUGGAUAUGACCCACAUACUCUGAUGCACCUACCGGAGAAACCCCACACUGGUGACUACUACCGGUUUUCAUGGGAAGAGGUGGAUGAGCUUUUGCUCCCUGAAAACAGGGUCCACCUAUCCCCUGAAUGCCAACUGAAGGAACUCUUAGAGAAACUUGACAUUGUGAGCAGUGUUCGAGCAAGCGGUGCUCGCACUAAGCGUCUGAGGUUACUUCGCAGGGAAAUUAAUCUUCUCCGGCAAAGACUGGCACCACGUAGUAGAGACUUGCUGGAGGUUUACCCUGAUGAGAAGUCCGCUCCUCCUCCUAUGCUUGAGCCUACAGAUGCAACUCUCCCAUUAGAAAAUAUUACUGCUCAUGAACAUCCACCUACCCUACAACCUAUGACAGGCAGUCCCAUCAAUAAGAAAGUUAAAAUUGGGUUCCAAGUCCGUAAUUUGGGAGGAGGAAGAACCUCUAUUGUUUCACAGAAACGCUUGAAGGAAACAAAGACUUCAGCAGUAAAUACUCUGCAAUCUCUCAGUGGCAAUGAAAGUGACGAAGAGAAAACAGCAGUCUAUGCAGCUACAGAAAUUGCCAAUGGAUUUGGAACACAUGCAGGAAGUGGAUCAGAUUCUGAAAGCAACUCUGAAUUUACCAGGGAAGCAGCUUUGUAUUCUUCUGGGAACCAGGCCCCAUUAGGAAAACCAUCUCUCUCCCACAUCCCUCUACUCGAAUCAAUUAAUGGAGAUUGUGCCUACCGAGCAGAAAGUCUCCUAAUGUCAUCUGACCGUUCCACAGAACUGAAGCCUCUUCAGUUAGUCUGGGCUAAAUGUCGCGGAUAUCCUUCCUAUCCGGCAUUGAUUAUUGAUCCCAAUAUGCCUAGAGAGGGUUUAUUACACAAUGGCAUACCUAUUCCUGUACCACCCCUGGAAGUGCUUAAAUUGGGAGAACAGCGAUACCGUGAAAAUAACGCACAGAAACUCUUCCUUGUUCUAUUUUUUGACAAUAAAAGAACUUGGCAAUGGCUUCCCAGUGACAAGGUUUUACCUUUGGGUGCUGAUGAUACAGUAGACAAGCUGAAAAUGUUAGAGGGUCGAAAAACAAGCAUCCGCAAGUCAGUUCAGGUGGCCUAUGACCGCGCCAUGAGCCACUUGAGCCGUGUACGAGGCUGCCACCCAUUCAUCACAUCAAACUACUUAUACUAAUUGUUCCUGUUCCAUAAUGGAAGUUAUCAGCCCAUCAAACUGACGAAUCUGUAAUGUCAGCACCGGCCUCUGUGUGCGUCCGAACAGAGCAACACUUGAAUUGCUCCGUCGAACGCCAUGUAGCGGCUGCCGAUGAGCAAAACACUUGAAUUCCCUCAGAGAGAUAUCAAGCACCUAGCAACAGGUUUGGGUAUGGAGUAGUAGAACAGGCACAUAAGGGGAGUGGAUUUCAUGGAAUAGUGUGUGGUGAUGUACCCACACAGACACAAAAAAACAGUAGAUGGUACAUUUGGGUGUACUUUCACUUUCUUGAUGUGAUUUGUGUUAAUGCAUGGCUCUUUUAUCAAAUGUCUGGAUUCAUUGCCAAGAAUCAGUUGGUUUUCAAACCAUUGAUCAAUGCUAAAUCUAUGGAGCAACAUCGAAGAGGAAGACCAAGUAAGACACCACCUCUGAAGUGCAGGGCCAUGUCUAAUGCACCCCCUGAAAUCAGGUUCAGUGUGAGAUUGUGUGAGAAAUCAAUAGCCUGAAGCUUACGUAUGCAAAACAUGCUUACAGGUGCCAUGAUGCAACUUGUACAAAUAAAACUAAGUACAUCUGUAUGCACUGCGUUGAGCCUUUGUGUACAGGAUGCUUCUCCAACUUUCAGACCAAUUGUUAACAUCCGUCAAAUUCAGUUUGUGAAAAAGGCUAACAUUCUAGGUAUGAAGCAAACUCAGACGUAAAUUUAAAAAAAAAUUAAUAUAAAUAUUGCACAACGUGUUGUUUUUAACCUAAAAGGUUUUUUUGUUUCUGGAGAAGAAAGACAGUAAGUUGUUGCGCAUGAUAAAGACAAAUUGGAACUAUACCAGACAUUUGUUUUUUGUAUAUUUCAAUUUACAUUUUUCAAGAAAAAAAUUUCAAGGUUAAAUUACUGUUCCAUGAUAGGGCAAUUUUUUUAUGUUGCAAAUGCAUGCUGUCCACUAAAGUGGACUUGUGUAUAACUACUUUAGUAUUAUAGUAAAAACAAUUGUGUGUUUCUAUAAGUCCUGAAGACUAAUAAAAAAACAUUUUCUUUAAAUCUUGCAUUAAGUUAUCAUGAUUCAUGCAUGAAAGGGUUAAUUUUAGCAAAAACGCCACUAAUAUGGAUUUAUCACUUUAAAAUAACUGGUUUAUUUUUUUGUACAAAUACUUUUAUUGAAAAAGUAUAGUAACAAAUUAUAUAUGCUUAAAUGUAUUUUGUUUUAUUUUUGUUGUCGAAUAUAUGAAAUUUAAUGGCAUAGUAAAAUAAUGUAAUAAAUUAAAUUGUGAAUGUCCUUUUAUGAAUAAUAAACUAUUUACAUACGUGCCAUGAGAUUGUCAUCAGACAGUGUAAGUUCUGUUUAUUUAUAUAUCCAUAGUUAAAAUGUUCAGAAUUUUGAUUUAGCAUAUUUUAGAGACUGUACAAGCUUUUUAAUAGCUAUGAUUUGAUGUAACGUCAUAAAAAUAAAAAUUCCUUUACCUUGUCAUUAAAAUUCUAUGGGUUUUUUUUUUUGCUGUUCAUAUAUACAGGAUGUUUUGUUUUUGUUUUUUUGUUCCGUAGUGACGCAAGCCGUGAGACAUGAGCAAUAGUAAUAUGGGUUUGUUUUUUGUUUUUUUUAACUACUGUAACUCAUUAUAUUUGCCUUCUUUCGAAUUGUAGUUU